CAUCCUCAGUUCCUCAGGCCCUUCCUUGGUUUCUGUGAGGGCCAGUGGGUCCCUUGGCAUAUCAGUCAGAAAUCCAUUCUAGCAAAUACAGGCAGGCAGCAGUGUGGGAAGUGCCUCUGGGUGCUUCACUGGUAAGAAGACUGUGGGGACCAGUGUUCUCCAAAGGGAAGAGCAAUAUGGUGGCUUCUAGCGACUGGGAGGAAGUGGGAGAGUGUCUGAGGAAAGGAAGGAAGCCUUUGCUUCCUACAGGUGCAGUUUCAAAGACAGAUCACCCCCACCAAAUGCUGCAGCCGUCACCUCCUCGCAGCCUCAGGACAUGCUGAUUAUCCGAAGCUGCCACUGGACUCCUCCACAGGCUGAUUCAAAUUGCUUAGCAGAAAAGUAAGCCUGCCAAGGCAGCAGGUAAUUUCAUGUUGGAUUUGUGAAUUGAAUUAGCUCAUAGGAGAAUCUUUGUGGAGAACUGACACAAAAAUAUCGUGUGCCUCGGAAUGGGGAGAGAAGCAUGGUCAGGUAGCAUGAGGAAAACAGAGUAAUGGAAGAGAUCAGGGGACAGAGGAGGAGGGUAGGGAAGGGGAAAGGAGAGGCAAAGAGGGGUCAUGAGUGACAUGCAGCUGUUAGUGUGCUAACCACUAGGCAGGUCACCACAGAUGAGAAGACCAUCAGGAACAUCUGAAAUAUGACUUUACUGUCUUUGCUAUUCAGUGUCUCCACUAUCCCAAGUGCUCCUUCACCUUUACUAAUUUCAAGUCUUGUCACACAUCUAUAUUUGUCUUGGACAGGAGAAGUUUUAUGUCUCAGGAUUUGAGCCAGGCACUCUCUCCUGUGAUUUUUGGUGGCAUUAGACCUCUGUCCACAUGCAGUGAAUUAUAGCUAACCAGUGAGGAUAUUAAUACCCUGUGGCACAGAUCACCACCAAGCACAACUGACUGCUGCAUAAUCUGUUUUUAAUUUCACCACUUCUAGGAUGAAAGAAAUUGUGAAGCUUAACUCUCAAGGAGCAUUGUAGAGAAUUAACACUCAGGGACAAAAUCUGCUUCCAUUUCCAUUGCCAUAAGAAAUUUUCUCCCCCAUAAGUGUUCUACCUAUUAUUCUAUCAUACAGGUGAAGGAAGGCAUCUCCAGAUAUGACUUAGAGAAAAGAUUCAGGAAAAACUGCACUCAGCACCAGCUUUUAAGAGAAGGCUAUGGCUGUGGGUUCCAGGCAAACAGAGGCUUUUUCUUGGAUAUCCUUGUGAGCAUAAGGUCAUGUUUCAGGAAAAGCUCUCUCCUUGGUGUUUCUUACUAGCUGGCUGUAGGUGGCUUCCCAUCAAGCUGGUUUCCCGCAGACAGCCCCUAUUCACCAUACAACAUGAUACUAAAUCCCAGUCCCAGCUACCUUAUUCCCUUGUCGGUGAAGGAAGUCUUACUCAAGGUUCUGCUUUUCAGAACCUUUUCUGAGCUUCUGAGCUGUGUCAUAAACUCACCAAGACUAUAUGGCAAGCCUUUUGUGCUUGCUGAAAGAUCAGUGUCUGCAGGCUGCAUCUAUAGUAGCAAACCAAUCAGUUCCAGGGUGUGUACUAAAUGCUGCACCUCCAGUGUCUUCUGUACAACUGCCAGUGGUUGCUGGUUUUGACCCAGACUGGUCAUCAGUCUUCUAAACAUAGGCCUUGGGUAUGCGUCAGAAGUUAGUAUGGUUAUGGGCCACUUCCAAUAGGCAGUUUGGAUAAAGUAAUUUGGUUUUGAAGGGUAAGGUAAUUUUAUGUUAUGAACAUGGGUUGUACUGUUCCAGUUGACUUCAAUGCCACAGGCCUGCCCUGGGCUUGAUUAACUUACUAGCAGAAACAUGGGGAAAAAAGUUGAUUGUAUUUUGGGCUUGGGUGUUAAUAUAGAGUAUUUAGUAUUAGUGCUUAUUUGGACAAGUCUAAAUAAAGUUCCUUCAUACAUUAA